rnacentral:rRNA from 2 species
UAGGGAAUAUUGCGCAAUGGACGGAAGUCUGACGCAGCGACGCCGCGUGAGCGAUGAAGGCCUUCGGGUCGUAAAGCUCUGUCCUUGGGGAAGAAGGUCUUCGGACUUGACGGUACCCAAGAAGAAAGCCCCGGCUAACUACGUGCCAGCAGCCGCGGUAAUACGUAGGGGGCGAGCGUUGUCCGCAAUUACUGGGCGUAAAGGGUGCGUAGGCGGCCCUUUAAGUCAGAUGUGAAAGCCCGCAGCUUAACUGCGGAAUUGCAUUUGAAACUGGAGGGCUUGAGUGUCGGAGAGGGUAGUGGAAUUCCCAGUGUAGCGGUGAAAUGCGUAGAUAUUGGGAGGAACACCAGUGGCGAAGGCGACUGCCUGGACGAUAACUGACGCUGAGGCACGAAAGCUAGGGGAGCAAACAGG